ACGGGCGUAGCUCAACUGGUAGAGUGGCGGUCUCCAAAACCGUAGGUUGCGGGUUCGAUUCCUGCCGCCCGUGCAA
rnacentral:tRNA from 1 species